rnacentral:rRNA from 1 species
ACACUGAUAUUGGGUAAAUAAUGUGUAGGAUAGGUGGGAGACUUUGAAGCCGUGGCGCCAGCUGCGGUGGAGUCACCCUUGAAAUACCACCCUUCUGUUGUCUGAUAUCUAACCGAGACCCGUGAACCCGGGUUCGGGACCCUGCGUGGUGGGUAGUUUGACUGGGGCGGUCGCCUCCGAAAGAGUAACGGAGGCGCGCGAUGGUAGGCUCAGACCGGUCGGAAAUCGGUCGUCGAGUGCAAUGGCAUAAGCCUGCCUGACUGCGAGACUGACAAGUCGAGCAGAGACGAAAGUCGGUCAUAGUGAUCCGGUGGUCCCGCGUGGAAGGGCCAUCGCUCAACGGAUAAAAGGUACGCCGGGGAUAACAGGCUGAUACUGCCCAAGAGCUCAUAUCGACGGCAGUGUUUGGCACCUCGAUGUCGGCUCAUCUCAUCCUGGGGCUGGAGCAGGUCCCAAGGGUACGGCUGUUCGCCGUUUAAAGAGGUACGUGAGCUGGGUUUAGAACGUCGUGAGACAGUUCGGUCCCUAUCUGCCGUGGGUGUUCGAGACUUGAGAGGAUCUGCCCCUAGUACGAGAGGACCGGGGUGGACGGACCUCUGGUGGACCUGUUGUGGCGCCAGCCGCAUAGCAGGGUAGCUAAGUCCGGCCGGGAUAACCGCUGAAAGCAUCUAAGCGGGAA